rnacentral:tRNA from 1 species
GGGUGGGUGGCCCAGCGGUUAGAGCCUAGGUCUCAUAACCGAAAAAUUCCGAGUUCGAACCUCGCCAGAGGCA